ncrna:unclassified sequences RAGATH-28 RNA
GGGCGGUUGAUGCGUCCCGCGCGGUACAAGCCGGAGGACAUAUGGGGUGCUGCACGGGCCGGAUCGCCCCGGUGGCGGAGC